AGCAAGAGAAGGGGUUGCAGUACAAAAGCUUGUACUUCAGUUGAUGUACUGCAAGAACAAAUCUUAACUAUAAAUUCAUGUAAGCUUGCCUAGCGAAAACAAUUGAACAUUCAUCUAAGCCUUAUCUCCUCCAGCACCGAAAUUCUCACAGAAUCGAUGUUGCUCUCACACCAAACCAAGCAAUUGGCUGAAGUGGCUGAAGCAGUAGUCUAAGGAUGCCAAUUUUGAGCGGCUUUCCUAGCAAACUCUGGCUUAUUUCCUUUUGCUUGGUUACUAUAAGAAACAGAAAAAAAUACAAAAUUAUUGUUUUACUGUCUCAAUCACAAAUCUUAAACAGUAAAAAUCUUUGGAAACAAACUCAUCCAGUGAGAGUUUGAUCAAUUUUAUAUUGAAUUUUUCAGUUAUAUAAUCUGAUAAGCAAAUAUAGUAAUUUUUUUUUGUGAGGCAUAUAAUUAUUCACAUGUCUAUUCUGAAUACAAUUGUUGAUCAUGAAGAAAUGCCAAAACUUUUAGCUUCUAAUUAAACCAGGGAUUAAUUUAACUUGUCUCUUGCGUUAUCAAUGCUAAUUAGGUACGAGUCAAGCCAUGAUCUCUUCCCUCUACUUUAUGAGUUGUAAACCAAUUCCAUCAACGUAGGGGAGCAUCCCGAGCUGCUGUCAAUCGAAAAGAAAAGUACAAUUUCUCUCUCUGGAUUCUUUUAGAGGAUUAGAGGAAAGUGGCAAAAUUUUGAAUGGGCUCAUCUCUGCUGGCUCUGCAGUAUUCCACUAAGUUUUCAUGUGCCUGUGUUUCUCGUGGACCCCAAAAUUAAAUACAGGUAAACUUCUCUUUCCUGUGUUUGGUGAUACAUUUUCCCUUUUGUUUCCUCCAUUUAUUACAUUCAAUGGCUUGUCUAUGCUAGUGGGAUUUGAUAGCAUAGGGAUGAUACGGGUGUCAAAUUGCACAGACUUCGGAGGAUAGUUUUUUGAUCUUGAUGUACUACUAAUUUUGUUUUUAUUAAUUAUUAAAUUAUUUGAGGUAAUAAAUUUUUGUUUUUCAUUAA